ensembl:lncRNA
CCGGCCCUCAUUGACUCACAAUGGGAAGCAUGUAAUUUUGCAGAUGUUGGUGAAAAGCUCAAAUGUCAGCCUCUUUUCAGAUGGCCGCUGCUGCCUAUGCCCACGAAUGAAUAAUGUAUCAUUCACCUUUUGUCUAGAGUUUAAUAUUCGUACAUGAGUACAAAGGCGCAUAAAAAAACAUGCAGAAAGAGCGUCUUAAUUUAUCAUAGAGCCUCUGCGAUAAGGGCGAACUCCAUGGUCGGGUUUCCUUAACAAGAACACGAAGGAGGAGGUUUUAGAGUCUUAUACCGCUGUCUCUGUUGAGAUAAGAACAAUGGGAAAUUCUGCUUGACUGAUGGCCUCUGGGUCAAAAGAACUACUGUUCAUGGCUGAAGUUGAGGAGAGGAAAGGAAGCGGAAUCUAUAAUCUAUGCUAGCUCUCUCCAUUCCACUCCAUUCUCCCAGUUCUGACUCUGAAUUUUGUAAUUAAAAUGCAAAACAUUUUUUGAAAUGUAACAAAGUAUACUUUGGUAGAAAUUAGAACCUGUAGUAACUGCUUUAUCAUGAGCAAAAUGCUCAUAAUAGGUGCAUUGGAUCAUUAAGGGUCCCUGGCUUCCUAAAGGGGUUCUACUUGUAAUCCCCUUUCUACAUAGAAACUUGAAUGUUUUUACCUGGAGGUGCGAGCGAAAGAACCCUUACAGGUCCUUUAGUAAGUAAGGCCAGCCUAAACCUACUGCAAUGCCUCACUGUAUACGUAAUGCAUACACUCAUGGAGCACUUUAUUAGGAACACCUGUACACCUACUUAUUCAUGCAAUUAUCUAAUCAGCCAAUCAUGUGGCAGUAUGGGCUAAUUCUUUACAUGGCUUGCAUUACAGUGUAGCCAAAAUUUCAAAGAAGCAUUUACAAAUAUAUCACAUUCAUUCAUUCAUCUUUAGUAACCGAUUUUAUCCUGGUCAGGGUUGUAGUGUAUCCGAAGCCUAUCCCGGGAACACUGGGCGCAAGGUAGGAUAAUUCACUUUGGAUGGGUUGCCAGUCCAUCGCAGGGCAGCAUGCAUCCACACAUUUACACACACUCAUUCACACCUAGGGGAAAUUUAGCAUAGCCAAUCUGCCUACCAGCAUGGAUUUGGACUGUAGAAAGAAACCGAACCUUGACAAAACCCUUGCGAUCGCAUGGAGAACACAUAUCAUUCAGUAUUAAUUUUAUUCAAUAAGAUCAUUUUAAAAUUAGACUUAGGAAUGUCUCUGGGAACUUCAGUAUUGGCCCAAUACAAAAGGUUUCCUGAGAAAUUUUAAAUAAAAGCAUUUGUAAUUACAUUGUAAAUGGAACAAGUUUAGCUAUAUGACAACUUUAGUAUAUAAUUAUUUCCUGAGCUGAGGUUACUGUCUUUGAGGAGUUUCACAUGCUCCAUACCCACGUGGAAGCUUGAAUCCUCUGGAUUUUCUGGUGUCCCAUCCAGGAUAUUUUCCUGCCUCUCUAACUGUCUUUAUACUAAGCAUUUAAAUGUCCAACACUACUAAAUAAUUAAUGUGACCAGGAAGCAUUCUUAUUGGAAAGCAUUUUACAUUUGAUUUAUAUAGAGAUUUAUACAUGUGAAGCAAUAUGAACUUAUAAUGCACAUUACAUUCGGCAAUGCAUGUUCCUCCUUUAAAGUUUCAGGAGGAUCCAGACAUUUCUAUCCACAGAGGCACUUGUUCAGUCCUUUGUCUUCUCAAGACUGGACUAAUGGAACUCACUCCUGGAAGGUGUCCCCAUGCAUUCCAUCUGACCCCUGCGACUGAUCCAAAAUGCAGCUCCAUGACUUGUUUUCUCCCAAGUUCUCCUACCUCACCCCUUUGCUGCUUUCCAUCCACUGGCUUCGCCUGUUCUCCCACCUCAUCCCUUUGCUGAUUUCCAUCCAUUGGCUUUCCCACAACAGAUUUAAAACACUGAUGGCAAAGCGGAAAAUGGCCCCCGAUCUACCUGCAGGCACUUAUGUGGAAGGCACAGUGGAACUCACUUCUGGAAGGUGUCCUCGUGCAUUCCAUCUGACCCCUGCGACUGAUCCAAAAUGCAGCUGCAUGACUUGUUUUCUCCCAAGUUCUCCAAUCUCACCCCAUUACUGCUUUCCAUCAACUGGCUUCUCCUGUUCUCCCACCUAUAACACCUAUGUGUUUUAAAUCACAUCAGAUUUAAAACACUGAUGGCAAUGUGGAAAAUGGCCCCCCAUCUACCUGAAGGCACUUAUGUGGAAGGCACAGCACCAUGUUGCCUUUGAGCCUCAGACAUGGCUUGACUCACCCUUCCACCCCUUGAGACACAAGGACAACGUGCGUCAUAACCCGACUCUGUCCUGGCACCAAGGUGGUGAAUGAACUUCCCCUGACUUCCUGAACAACUGAGUCACUGGUUGUUUUCAAACCAAGACUAAAGACCUACCUCUUCACCAAGGACUCAAACAAACUAAUUACUUGUACUGUUUUUCUGUUGUUCUACCGAAUAAUUGUACUCCUCACAGGGUAUUAUAUUAUCUUGAGAGUACUUUUAGACCCCGACCUCUCUGUGCUAGCAUGAGGAUGUGUGUUUUGAUGGAUACUACAUAGCACUUCUAUUGCUUUGGGUAAGGGCAUCUUGCAAAUGCUUUUAAAUGUAAAUGAUAAAAUAGCAAAAGGAAACUUAUGGUGUGCUCAAUAAUGUGAUGCAUAAAUAGUGACUUAAAAUUAAGCAAAAUAUCCAUCCAACCAUCUUCUAUACUGCUUAUCCUUCAGGGUCUCAGGGAAUCUGGGGCUGAUCUCAGGGAACAUCGGGCACAAGGCGGAGUACACCCUAGACAGGGUGCCAGGGAGAACAUGCAAACUCCGCACACACAGAGCCACAGCGGGAAUCGAACCCCCAACCCUGGAGGUGUGAGGCGAACUUGCUAACCCCUAAGCCACUAUUAUUAUUUUUUGUUUUAAUUAUUUGUUAUCUAAUGCAACACUUACAUUUGGUUCAACACACAAAGCCUUAUAAACCCAUUAUUUUCCCUGCAGGAGAUGUUUGUCAUGAAAGACAACAAAAAACUUUUUUAUAUAUAUCUAUCUUGAACACAGAUGAAGGGGAAAACCUUUGGUUUUUGUCUAGUUGUCUAUCUUUCUAAGCAGAAACUUUGUGCUCCAAAUUUCACAGCAGUUCAGAUUACCACCUGGAUCUAUCUCCCUCCCUGUUCAUCAUCUCUCUUCCCUGACUUUUAAUCGCAACGGCACUAACAUUAAAAACUACUCUGCACAUAGUUUUCCAUCAUCAAUCCCUCUCUCACAGUUACUCAGUGGAGCACAUUCACUUUUAAUGCACAGUUUUAUAAUCGCUCACACACCAGACAGAGUGCAGGGUAUGAGACAGAAUAGACUGCAUUGUGUUCCACUGAAAGCCAGAGAGACCUGGCUGCCAUCGAUAGGCCAUGUUCUCAAUGGCCGCAAGUCACCACGGACGGUUAACAAAAGCGACCGGCAGCAUAAUUGUAGUGCUCCGUAACCAUUAAGGUGGCUUUAUUAUUUUUUUUCCACCAGCCGGGAUCAAUUAGGUGUAUACACCCCUCCCACACAGGUCUCCUAUACACUGUCCCCUACUGCUCAUACCCCACUGAGCCCAUGUGCUCUAUGCCAGGCUCCAUUCCACCCCACUCUAUGACCUGCCAUCAUUUAGAUUUCACUCGCAUUGUGUUGCAAGGCUGCAACCAGUCCGCUCUCUCUCCCUUUCUCUCCCUCCACUAUUGUGUCAUUAAUUUCUAGCCUUUUCAGUUUUACAAAAAGAUGAAAAGGAAGAAAACAAGAGUGAGCAUGGACUCUGUGUUCUCUUUAGCUAUGUUUACUGGUCAAAACAGCACUGCAAUCAUUCUCUCUCUCUCUCUCUCUCUCUAUCUCUCUCUCUCUCUCUCUCUCUCUCUCUCUCUCUCAUCAGUGGUUUAUUCUAAAAAGUCUUUUCCUGUUUGUGUAUUGAAAGGAAGGCAAUAAAAGCUUUUCAAUAGGCGCGUAUAAAAAGGAGAGAGAGAGGGAGAGAAAGAAAAGAGAAAAUAGAAAAGAGCCUUCAGGGGGUUGGCCAAAGGGCUUCUAUUCUUCUUCUAGUAAUCAAAUUGAAGCUGAAAUGAAAUGGGGGAUUCAUAUGAAAAUGGCUUUUGUUGACUAAGAUGCCUGGUAAUUCAUAUACAAUACACACCCUUUUGUACGGUUAAUAAUUUAUUCAUGGAAGGGAAGAGGUGAAGACGACCGUGCAACCAGAGCAUGGCUAGGUUAUGGUGGAUUAAAAGCAACACGAUGACUGAUCUGCUCAGUUGCUGGAGCAUACACUCCAUCCUUCAUUCUCUCUCACCAUCUUUAUCUACCUUUAUCUCUCUCCAUCUCUGAUUAAGUGAUCUAUCUUCUCCAAACUUCUGAACCUCCUUAUAUCUGUCUUCACUCUGGACCUUUCAGGAGUACGGAGGAACCUGAGGUCCUGCGCAUACUCCAUGCAAGUGCUGCUGUGAGAGGAGGAUCUCAGGGUGAAGGAACAGAGGGAGGGAGAGAGACAGGAGGGAAGGAGGGAACAUGUGGGAGGGAGCGUCUCACAUGGACACUGGAUGCUGUCAAGCCAGAGGCAGAGAAACCGUUCUGUCUCUUUCUCUCGCGUACACACACACACACACACUCACACUCACUGCGACUUCCAGGAGCCUUUUGAGAGUUUUAUCAGCCGGGUUGGAGAGGAACGUGGAGGAAACUCUUGUGGACUUUACCUGCAUGAAGGCAGAAGACAGACAUUCAUAGAAACAAAGCUGGAUGGAACGUUUCUGUAAACAUUUUACAGCCCUGGAAUGAGCUCAGCCAUCAACUGUAAUCGAGAACAAGAAUCAGUUUGUUUCUAAAAUGAAUACUGUGAAUAUUUUCUUGGGAUCACCACCAUCAAGUGCCACUUGGUGACAUGUCUGUGCCUGGGUUUAAGUAUUUAAGCUGCUCAAGUUCUCAGUAUCAUUGUAAGUGUGUAAGAUCUUAGCCUUUCAUUAUGUCUAACUGUCUUGCUGUGUUUAUCUUUGUUUAUUCUUUGGAUUACCCUUCGGCCAUGUUUAUUUUUGCUGAUCGUGUUAUGAAUGUUUUUCCCCCCAAAUAAACCUCUUUGCACUGGUAUCUUAACUCUGUCUCUGAGUCUACCAUGCAAUAUAUGGGUUUUUUUUAGCAUCUCUUUAAAGAACUAAUGGUGGCAUAGCUGACUAUUUUGGCAUAUAAUUUGGUAGAACGCUGCAUGGAACCUCACCAUCUCUCACCUCCCCUAAAUUGUUCAAUUGAGCUCCACUGAAAUCACCUGUUGUUCAGGUCUCAUGACUUUCCAGACCUUUUCCUUUCCUCACUUCCAACUGGUCCAUGCCACUGAGGCCUUCCAUUCAUUGCUGAUCUCGGUUAACAUGAUUUGGGACAGUAUGCGGUAUGUGCUUGAUUGUUUUCGACAGGUAGCCUGCAUAGCAGAAAAACAAACUGAAGCAAAAUGCUGCAGCUUUAAUGGCUGGUCUCGGCAGGAGGAAAACAGCACACUUUCUUCAUUUCUUUUAGUGGAAUUAUCCCUGCAGAGUACAGCGCACCUCUCACUGUUCUCCUGCGCCUGUCUUACAUAAACUGCAGUGCCUCCAGAUUUUAUUUUAUUUUUUUAUUU